rnacentral:sRNA from 1 species
UCACCUGGUCAGGCCCCCCGAUUGUGA